rnacentral:rRNA from 1 species
UUUCCUGGUGUAGCGGUGGAAUGCGCAGAUAUCAGGAGGAACACCGAUGGCGAAGGCAGAUCUCUGGGCCGUAACUGACGCUGAGGAGCGAAAGGGUGGGGAGCAAACAGGCUUAGAUACCCUGGUAGUCCACCCCGUAAACGUUGGGAACUAGUUGUGGGGUCCAUUCCACGGAUUCCGUGACGCAGCUAACGCAUUAAGUUCCCCGCCUGGGGAGUACGGCCGCAAGGCUAAAACUCAAAGGAAUUGACGGGGACCCGCACAAGCGGCGGAGCAUGCGGAUUAAUUCGAUGCAACGCGAAGAACCUUACCAAGGCUUGACAUAUACGAGAACGGGCCAGAAAUGGUCAACUCUUUGGACACUCGUAAACAGGUGGUGCAUGGUUGUCGUCAGCUCGUGUCGUGAGAUGUUGGGUUAAGUCCCGCAACGAGCGCAACCCUCGUUCUAUGUUGCCAGCACGUAAUGGUGGGAACUCAUGGGAUACUGCCGGGGUCAACUCGGAGGAAGGUGGGGAUGACGUCAAAUCAUCAUGCCCCUUAUGUCUUGGGCUUCACGCAUGCUACAAUGGCCGGUACAAAGGGCUGCAAUACCGUGAGGUGGAGCGAAUCCCAAAAAGCCGGUCCCAGUUCGGAUUGAGGUCUGCAACUCGACCUCAUGAAGUCGGAGUCGCUAGUAAUCGCAGAUCAGCAACGCUGCGGUGAAUACGUUCCCGGGUCUUGUACACACCGCCCGUCAAGUCAUGAAAGUCGGUAACACCUGAAGCCGGUGCCUAACCCUUGUGGAGGGAUACCGUCGAAUGGGAUACGUAUCCGGCC